AGCUCUACAUACAAACUACCACACUUACAAUCUCCAUGAACCUAAGUGCAUCAGUGGCGCUGGGGAUGCUAUACAUGCCGAAAGUGUACAUCAUCAUUUUCCACCCUGAACUCAAUGUCCAGAAACGGAAGCGAAGCUUCAAGGCAGUAGUCACAGCAGCCACCAUGUCAUCGCGGCUGUCACACAAACCCAGUGACAGACCCAACGGUGAGGCAAAGACAGAACUCUGUGAAAACGUAGACCCAAACAACUGUAUACCACCAGUAAGAAAGAGUGUACAAAAGUCUGUUACUUGGUACACUAUUCCACCAACAGUAUAGCUUUUGACUGCUUUCCAAAAGGCCCUGCUGCAAAAAAGAAGUAUGUCAGUUAUAAUAACCUGGUUAUCUAACCUGUUCCAUUCCAUGGAACCUUGGAGGAGGAAGACCCUCAGUUAUUCUGUCACCCAACCUGGCACAGGACUCUUUGGUCCUACCCGCUUCCCAUCACCGGAGGAGCUUCCCCAGCCGGGAGACCAAUGUUAGAGGAUCCAAGUGACCUAAACAGCUGCUUUAUGAAAUAUCCUUACUUUAUCUUGGCUUAAUAAGUCACUGGCAUCAGCACUGCCAACUCGGCUGCAAUUUUGGACCUUCCCUCUAGAAGGGAGUGUUGAGACUCAAGUCCCACCCAGGCUCUUUAGAAUGGACCACUGAGAGCCACAGGACCGUUUUGGGGCUGACCUGUCUUUCUACGUAUGUACUUCCAGGUUGCAAGGUUUUGAAAUUUUCUGUACAGUUUGUGAGGACUUUUGCACUUUGCCAUCUGAUGUUGUACCUCGGUUCACUGUUUGUUUUUCGAAUGCCCUGUUUUCAUAGAGCCCUAUUCUCUCAGACGGCGGAAUAUUUGGGAAAAUUUUAAAACAGUUAAAAUUUUUAAAAGAUCUCAGCAGACUAAAAAGGAAAAACACAUCUGUACAUGACUGUAUAAUUACAAUUAUAGUACCACUGCAAAUUACAUUAUUUUUUUUAAAACAAAAAAGAUACUUAAAGACCAAAAACUGUGCUGAGAAAGUAUGCCCUACCUAUCUCUGGUAUAUGAUAGGUUAUAUAAAAGGAAAGUAUUAACUGAACUGAAUAGAGGUCUUGAUCUUGGGAAUGCAUGCCAGUAAUGUAUUUUACAGUACAUGUUUAUUAUGUUCAAUAUUUGUAUUUGUGUUCUCUUUUGUUAUUUUAAUUAGAGUAUAUGGAUAUUUUGCAAUAAUUUUAAUAAUUAUUAAGCUGUUUGAAGGAAAGAAUAUGGACUUUUCAUGUCUUGAGGUUUUGUUCAUGCCCCCCUUUGACUGAUCAGUGUGAUAAGGACUUAAAAAAUAAAAAGCAUGUAUGUUUUUUACUGUUUGUAAUAAGUACUUUCGUUAAUCUUGCUGCUUAUGUGCCAAUUUAGUGGAAAAAAACCCUUGCUGAAAAAUUCCCUCUUUCCAUUAUCUUUCAAUUCUGUGAUAUUGUCCAAGAAUGUAUCAAUAAAAUACUUUGGUUAACUUU